UAUAAUUAUUUUAAGUCUUCCAUUAUAUCCUCUCUAGUUUCUUCUCCUAGGAGUACUCUGAUGGCACAGAAAGAAUCUGUUCAGGUGUCAAGAUCUCAAUAGUUCAAAUGUUCCUGUCAUUUCCCUGUUACAUGGAUCCCUUCUGCUGAGUGACUGCAGCCUACUACAUUUCCCACAAGGCUUUGUGACUUUUGUUCCACCCAGCCAGCUUUUUUUCCCACCCUCCCUAGAAUCUGACAGGCCAGAGAAAAAUCUGAUUUCAAAGAGAUGCUUACAUUCUGUACUGAUGCCAUCUAGGAAUGUAAAUUCUCAAUGUCACACUGCUAAGUGGAGAAAGAGAAAGUGUUUCACUGCGUUGCUUAGCUCCUUACUGUUGCUGAAGCUGACUUUGAACUUGUGAUCCUCCUAACUCAGCCUCCUGAGCCACUGGGAUUCCAGAUGUGCACUACCGCACCCAGCAAUUCUUCCAGGGUUCCAUUGAUCUUAUGGCGUGGGAGGACUCUUACCAUGUGAGUCUUUUACCAGGAGCUAUAUGACAGCAUUAAUUAAGUUAUGCUUUGGGAAAAUGAAAGCAAACAAGAUGCAUAUUUUCUGUUUUGCCAAUAACGUGUAGGAAUUCUUAGCACAUUAAUCAAUUUGAUUUUUUCUGUUUUCUUUUUUGCUAUUUCCUCCCUUCCUCCCCCCUUUACCCUCCCUCUCUUCUUACUUUCCUUCCUUCCUUCUUUCCUCCUUCUUAUUUUGCUUUAGGGAUAGAUUCUACCUUAGUAAGACCAAGCUUAGUUAGAAGGAGCAGCAAUUAGAUAUGGAUUCCCUACAACCUCUCAUUUACAGAGACAUUAUAUAAAAACACGUAAACCUGGUGUGGUGGUACAUACCUGAAAUCCCAGCAGCUUGGGAGGCUGAGGCAGGAGGAUUUGAGUUCAAAGCCAGCCCCAGAAACAGCGAGGCACUAAGCAAUUCAGUGGGACCCUGUAUCUAAAUAAAAUACAAAACAUGGCUGGGAUGUGGCUCAGUGGUGGAGUGCCCCUGAGUUCAAUCCCCAUUACCAAAUAAAUAAAUAAAUAGAAAAGAAAAAGAAAAACACCCGUAACAAAAGGAAGCUUUGAAAACCAUUGGAGCUUAUGAGCAGCUCUCUUUAAUGAUUUGUUUUUGUUACGCAAAUGUGUUUUAUUUUCUCUGUGAUUUGCUGGAAGGAAAACAACUGUUCUUCAUGUAUAAGUCUCUUAAUUUGUGAAGGAUCAUUUAGAGGCACUGUUUUAAGGAUGAUGAGUUCUCUUUUCAUGAUUUCCUAACAUUGUGGUUCUACUCUUCCCUUUAUUACAAGGAGCUUUAACUUUAUUUGCCAAAUUGCCUUUCUUCAGAUAUAUAUGUAUAUGCAACAAACAUUUAUUUAAGUUCACAGGUUUUCAGAAAAUGAUUUGUGCAAAAGGUUACAAGGUUCAGAGCCAAACUUUUUCCAAAUGGUGUUUAGUCUUUAUCUGCCUCAUGCAUCUUGUGCCUAGCUCCUUCCCACAUCCAAAGGUUUGUCCACAGUACUGUUUUACUCUGACUUUCCUUUUGAUAGUUGUUUGUCCUUUUACAUCCCUAUCAUUACUUCAUAUUCAAUAUUCUUUUUUUUUCUUUUUUAAAAAUUUUUUAUUGUUGGCUGUUCAAAACAUUACAUAGUUCUUGAUAUAUCAUAUUUCACACUUUGAUUCAAGUGGGUUCAUCACAUGUGUUUCCCCUCCUCUUCCUCCUUAUCCUCCCUAGUCUCUCUCAGGUGAACUAAAACGUGUGUGUGUGUGUGUGUGUGUGUGUGCGCGCGCGC